CAAACCAAAGCUGGCGACCGGCGCACGGGUGAGUAACACGUAUCCAACCUGCCUCAUACUCGGGGAUAGCCUUUCGAAAGAAAGAUUAAUAUCCGAUAGCAUAUACUUCCCGCAUGGGUUUUAUAUUAAAGAAAUUCGGUAUGAGAUGGGGAUGCGUUCCAUUAGUUUGUUGGGGGGGUAACGGCCCACCAAGACUACGAUGGAUAGGGGUUCUGAGAGGAAGGUCCCCCACAUUGGAACUGAGACACGGUCCAA
rnacentral:rRNA from 1 species